rnacentral:lncRNA from 1 species
CCACGUGUAAGCUUUCGAUAAAGUCCACUUAAAGUUAAACAAAACAUGUCCGAUUAAAUCAAUUUAAUUGAGAGUUGUAACAAAAAUAUGAAAUUUCAACUACUAAAUUAAUCGGAUAAAUAAAAGUUAGAAAAACAUUUUUUUCUUCUUCUUAAUAUUUAAGUUCCAACCCCACACUACAUCCUUCAACAAUUGGAUUUCAAAUAAAGUUGCAAGUUGAAUGACACAUUCUGCUAGUGUUGCAUUACUCCAAAGGCUUCAUUAGCAUCCUUCCA